AAAUAUGUACUAAUUAAACAAUUAAUUAAUGUAGAAUUAAACACAUUCUAACAUACGAUAUUCGCAUCGCGCGCGCUUACGUUAACAUGCGAAUGGUCAAAGCACAGGUUGGACAAAGAACAGCUGAUUGAUUCCCUCGUAAAAAGUUGCUGGUGUAAAUUGUGUACUUAGUCGGAAAAAAUGAUCAAAAUUAACCAUACUGCCAAUAAGAACUACAUAUAUUCGAAAAGUAUAGGGGCGUAUUCGAUUUUUGGUGGAAGCGUAAAGGUACGAGAAAACCGAAAGCACAGCAUUCUAUAAAGUGACCGUGUCUAUCAGAUAUCCCAUGUGGUUCCAAUUGGACAAUAAUUAUAGCCAGAAGGAACAACAGAAAUUGAAGAGUCGUUUAUAUUAAUGGUAAAGUUUUUUUCGAACAAGAAGUUCCCCCGAGAAGUGCCGCGUUGCAGGAAGCGUCGAUUACACUCUUGGUAGAGUCUGCAAGGGGCACGCGUUGUGCACACAAGUAGGAUUUUCCAUUGAAUCAUUGCUUUUGGCUAUAGCUUCGAAGGUGCAACAGGAUGCUGAAGGCAACGAACGUCCGAUUCGACUUUGCACUCUCAUUGGAACAUUGAAACCACUUAGUGCUGCAGCUUUCGACUGUUACCAAUAGACUGCCAAAGUGGCGGCAGUGAUACGCUGUACGAGAAGAUCCCGAAAUCGAGGGAUACUUGAAGAGCUAAAGGUAUUUUGCAUAUUUGUAAUAUGCAUCUGCAUCGGAGGUACUUUCACAUGGUCCACAGACUGCAAGGUACAACCAUAUAUCCGCACUGUACUUUCCAUACUUGAGAUUGCGGCAAUUCAAUCGAAUAUUGAACCAGGGGAAAGGUGAAAAAUAAUGUGAAAUCAAUUCUCAUGGCUUGGCGACAUAUAAAAGGACCCGCCGACACUGCCAGUGAUUCCGGGAAAGUGACCAACUGCGGUCAGCGAUAGGCGGCUAAGCGCUGACGGUAGACGGUAUAUGGUGUACGGUUGAAAAGGAGCUCUCGUCUACUCUCGCCCACGUACAGAAAACACACUAAUGAAGUGCUCUGGAGGGACAUGGACACGGACACGGAUACCCCAGCCCCCGGGGCGUUGUCGGAUGCAUUUGGCAAAUAAAACACCUACCGACACACGAGACGACAAUAGCGAUAAGCUGAGAAAGGGAGACAGACACAGACACAGAGAUUGAGGACUCAGCGUGCCGUCCGGCAUCGUGACAAAGGACAACUGCAACUACACAGAGUCCAGGUUCGAGGCAAGUCCUUUUGCCAAAAAUAAAAAGUGCGCAGUGCCCAAACAGUAGGAGCUCUGUCCUGUCCUGGCCGGGACUCUUCGGUCUUGGAUACGACCAAGCUUGGACGCAGUUGGAAUUGGCUUGGACUAGCUGUCGCUAUCGCUGCAGGGCAAUUAGAACAUUAUCAGGCGGCAAUAAUCGGCUCGUUUGCACCCAAGUGUCAUCGCUCGACUCGGACUCGGACUGGGACUCAGACUCAGACUCGGACUCGGUCGCCCGCUCGCUGUCGUAAUAAUAAAAGGCAUGGCAUGGGCAUUGGCAAUCUCUGUCUGUCUCUGUCUGCAUUCUGCUCUCAAUAUCUUGUGGAGUAUGUUGGCUGGAAAAACAACAGGAUAUCUGUGUGUGUGUCUGUCCGGCAUUCGGCAGUCUAUCUGGGGAAUGUCUUUUGUUGUCCAGUAUACCAUUUCCAAAUGCAAUGCAAACCAGCAGUGAGGAGAGCAGUCGGCAGAGCAGAUAGGCAGGCGACAAUGUCGGCGGCGACAGUCGGGCAUCAAAGUCGAUUAUCACAGUUUUUGGGAUUUGCCUUAAAUCACGCACCAGUCAGCAGUCAGUAGACAGCAGCCAGCAGCCAGCAGUCAGAGAUCUUCGGGGCUACAGCUCAAUUAAAAUUCUUGGAAUACGCUCAACACUUUCCAAGACCCCUCCCUCCACCACUGUGUGCCCAUUGUCUGUGUGCUCGUCUGCACAAUAUUUUCGAGGCGGUUUUGUGGUUUUUGAUGUUCCUCUUCUGCGUUUCCCCCCGGGCCCUGCUAAUCUGCUAAAUUAAUGAUAAUGCGCGCUGCAAAGUCGUAAAUAUUGCAGCACCAUCAGCAGGAGAAUGCCGGAAUGGAUACUCGACUGACCAUUGUCCGGGCCAGAGCCCGAGUCCGCGUCAGAGCCAGAGUCAGAGCCUGGCUGUGUCCUGUCCUGCUCUGGGGCGAAAAACAUUGAAAUCCAGCAAAUCCACCCGUCUUAGUUCUAAUUCUUUUCACAGUCCAGCGCAACCCCUUGACAUGGCAGGGGAUUUGGGAGGAAGGCAGAAAGGGGAAAGGGGCGACUAGCCGUGCUCCAUGUCAUUCAAUUUGCAUUUGCAUGAGCAGACCUUGAAGCCCAGCUGGACCUUUUCCAUUGGAAAGAUAGCGGCUAUCGGCUGGGACUCUCGCCUGGCCAUGACUUGACCUACCCCCAAAGAUCAUCAUCGGAAUCGAGGCAUGCGCACUGAUCUGCCACUCUGCGAGAUGCCUCCCCCAAAAGCGGUUUUCCCAGCUGACCAGCUGUUGACCCACUGAGUAGCUGGCGGCCAUAUUUACAGAAUGGGGAUGGUGUUGGGGAUCUAUGGGAGGGCGGAUUUGAUGCCAAAGGGUGGCAUUGGAAACUCAUAAAAAAAGCAUAAAUUGCAAAUCUGCAUUAACUGACAAGAAAACGAAAUUCUUUACAUUCUUAGAUAAAGCUGCUAUAUACAUAUACUCCUGAUUCAUUGAAACAAAGAUAUUGAGCAAGGAGGACCCUGAGCAAGCCAUCGACCGAAGGAGGAGCAUCAGCUGGAGUAGCCAUCCGAGCCAGAGGAGGACAUGGUGGAGCCUCCUGUGAAUGAGAAAUCUUUCGUUGAUUCUGCAAACAGAAUAAAUUGGAUAAUUAUCUCUAUGUAUCUUUACUUGUAGAUUACAAAUCUGCAGGGUAUUCGAACGUCUGUCAACCCCAUGCUGAUGUCGGUGGUGUUUCCUUUUAGUUGUUUUCAACAGUCUGGCUUCGUCUAGUUGUCCGAGGUCCUAUGUCCAGUGUCCGAAGUCCGAUGUCCUGCUGCUGUGUCCCUGUGUGUUGUAUGUGUCACUUGGGUUAACUGUGCUACACACGGCACCGUGAAAUGGGUACUACAACCUCAUGCUGUCCUUCUCCCUGUCCAUGUCCAUGGCCAAAGCCAAGUCCAAGUCCAGCUGCUAACAUGUGACGAUGGCAAUUUGCAUUUCAGCGGGAUGCAGAGAGCGCCACUCUGCGGAGGAGGAGGCAGCCAGAGUGGGGGCCGGGCUGUCAGGACACACAGACAGCGCCAAGUAAUCCCCCAAAGAGAACAUUUAACAUACGGACUUCCAGAACCAGAGACAUGCAAAGUGAUUGAGUGGGGACUGGGACUGUAAUCGGAACAUGUGUAGAGAUAUUUAUUUAACAAACAUUGCGAAAUAUCAAGAGCGAUACCAGAGGCACGCAGUGGCAGUGGCAGAAAAGGAAAGGAAGGGCAAACAGGCGAAGGACAUCGAAGGGAAGGCACAACGACAAUCGAAAUGCGAAUGGAAAUGGAGAUGGGCGAAACACGAUGGCAAAUCAAAGGUGAAAAGAUGUGAAAAGCAAACGGAACGUGCACCGGGAGCAUUUAACCCACACCCCAGCUUCGAGCAGAGCCCGGGCACUGGCCCGGACCCAGACCCGGACCCGCGACCGUACCCAUUUCCAUUCCCAUAGCCAUAACUCCUCCCGGAGCCGGGAGUAAGCCGCUGUUGGGACACACAUGACGUAUUGGCACGAGUCCCUGAGAAGCGAGUUGCGAGGUCGCAGGAGCUCUGUUCUGUGUGCUCUACCGGCUCCGGCUCCGGGGCACUUGAAAGCCCGGGCGUAUCUUGAUUGUUUGCAUGUAAAUCUGCACAAAAUCCCCAAAGUACCCAAGUACCUAGAGUAUCCAAAGGAAGAGGAGACAGAGAGAGAGAGACAGAGAGAAAGUCCUUGUCGACUGCCACCGCCAUCGCCACCACCUCCGCUAUCCAUCCGACAACUGGCUCUAUGGAUGGCGCGGUCCCCGUAUCGUUACCCUGAUGGAGCGCUCACCAUCACCAUCAUCGUCAUGAUGGCCUUGGCGCAUCGCUUCCCAUCGCUCUGCAUCGCUCAGCAUCUCACGGCAUCGGCAUCGGCAUCGGCAUCGGCAUCGUGGCAAUCCCUUGCACAAUUGAACCGAGUCCUGUGUGGGCGAGUUACCUGCUUGCGCCCCUUUGGCCAGGCAACGAUCUGUGCUGACUCUGGGAAUACCCUGCAGACUCUGCAGAUAUUUACAUAUAUUUGGUAGCUAUAUACAUACAUGUACGACAUAUUUUAUACUAUAUCACGCCACCAUUAAAAUCGUAUAGGACCCUUAUAUUCGCCCAUCUGAGUAGCGCCAUUUGGUGUUCCACAUGGCGGAACCAUCACACAG